rnacentral:rRNA from 1 species
UAAGUGACUAAGCGUACACGGUGGAUGCCCUGGCAGUCAGAGGCGAUGAAGGACGUGCUAAUCUGCGAAAAGCGUCGGUAAGGUGAUAUGAACCGUUAUAACCGGCGAUGUCCGAAUGGGGAAACCCAGUGCAAUUCGUUGCACUAUCGUUAACUGAAUACAUAGGUUAACGAGGCGAACCGGGGGAACUGAAACAUCUAAGUACCCCGAGGAAAAGAAAUCAACCGAGAUUCCCCCAGUAGCGGCGAGCGAACGGGGAGCAGCCCAGAGUCUGAAUCAGCUUGUGUGUUAGUGGAACGGUCUGGAAAGUCCGACGGUACAGGGUGAUAGUCCCGUACACCAAAAUGCACAGGCUGUGAACUCGAAGAGUAGGGCGGGACACGUGGUAUCCUGUCUGAAUAUGGGGGGACCAUCCUCCAAGGCUAAAUACUCCUGACUGACCGAUAGUGAACCAGUACCGUGAGGGAAAGGCGAAAAGAACCCCGGCGAGGGGAGUGAAAAAGAACCUGAAACCGUGUACGUACAAGCAGUGGGAGCACCUUCGGGUGUGACUGCGUACCUUUUGUAUAAUGGGUCAGCGACUUAUAUUCUGUAGCAAGGUUAACCGUAUAGGGGAGCCGCAGGGAAACCGAGUCUUAACUGGGCGUUAAGUUGCAGGGUAUAGACCCGAAACCCGGUGAUCUAGCCAUGGGCAGGUUGAAGGUUGGGUAACACUAACUGGAGGACCGAACCGACUAAUGUUGAAAAAUUAGCGGAUGACUUGUGGCUGGGGGUGAAAGGCCAAUCAAACCGGGAGAUAGCUGGUUCUCCCCGAAAGCUAUUUAGGUAGCGCCUCGUGAACUCAUCUUCGGGGGUAGAGCACUGUUUCGGCUAGGGGGUCAUCCCGACUUACCAACCCGAUGCAAACUACGAAUACCGAAGAAUGUUAUCACGGGAGACACACGGCGGGUGCUAACGUCCGUCGUGAAGAGGGAAACAACCCAGACCGCCAGCUAAGGUCCCAAAGUCAUGGUUAAGUGGGAAACGAUGUGGGAAGGCACAGACAGCCAGGAUGUUGGCUUAGAAGCAGCCAUCAUUUAAAGAAAGCGUAAUAGCUCACUGGUCGAGUCGGCCUGCGCGGAAGAUGUAACGGGGCUAAACCAUGCACCGAAGCUGCGGCAGCGACACUAUGUGUUGUUGGGUAGGGGAGCGUUCUGUAAGCCUGCGAAGGUGUGCUGUGAGGCAUGCUGGAGGUAUCAGAAGUGCGAAUGCUGACAUAAGUAACGAUAAAGCGGGUGAAAAGCCCGCUCGCCGGAAGACCAAGGGUUCCUGUCCAACGUUAAUCGGGGCAGGGUGAGUCGACCCCUAAGGCGAGGCCGAAAGGCGUAGUCGAUGGGAAACAGGUUAAUAUUCCUGUACUUGGUGUUACUGCGAAGGGGGGACGGAGAAGGCUAUGUUAGCCGGGCGACGGUUGUCCCGGUUUAAGCAUGUAGGCUGGUUGUCCAGGCAAAUCCGGAUAAUCAAGGCUGAGGUGUGAUGACGAGGCACUACGGUGCUGAAGUAACAAAUGCCCUGCUUCCAGGAAAAGCCUCUAAGCAUCAGGUAACAUCAAAUCGUACCCCAAACCGACACAGGUGGUCAGGUAGAGAAUACCAAGGCGCUUGAGAGAACUCGGGUGAAGGAACUAGGCAAAAUGGUGCCGUAACUUCGGGAGAAGGCACGCUGGUGUGUAGGUGAAGUCCCUGCGGAUGGAGCUGAGACCAGUCGAAGAUACCAGCUGGCUGCAACUGUUUAUUAAAAACACAGCACUGUGCAAACACGAAAGUGGACGUAUACGGUGUGACGCCUGCCCGGUGCCGGAAGGUUAAUUGAUGGGGUUAUCCGUAAGGAGAAGCUCUUGAUCGAAGCCCCGGUAAACGGCGGCCGUAACUAUAACGGUCCUAAGGUAGCGAAAUUCCUUGUCGGGUAAGUUCCGACCUGCACGAAUGGCGUAAUGAUGGCCAGGCUGUCUCCACCCGAGACUCAGUGAAAUUGAACUCGCUGUGAAGAUGCAGUGUACCCGCGGCAAGACGGAAAGACCCCGUGAACCUUUACUAUAGCUUGACACUGAACAUUGAGCCUUGAUGUGUAGGAUAGGUGGGAGGCUUUGAAGCGUGGACGCCAGUCUGCGUGGAGCCAACCUUGAAAUACCACCCUUUAAUGUUUGAUGUUCUAACGUUGGCCCCUGACCGGGGUUGCGGACAGUGUCUGGUGGGUAGUUUGACUGGGGCGGUCUCCUCCCAAAGCGUAACGGAGGAGCACGAAGGUUAGCUAAUCCUGGUCGGACAUCAGGAGGUUAGUGCAAUGGCAUAAGCUAGCUUGACUGCGAGCGUGACGGCGCGAGCAGGUGCGAAAGCAGGUCAUAGUGAUCCGGUGGUUCUGAAUGGAAGGGCCAUCGCUCAACGGAUAAAAGGUACUCCGGGGAUAACAGGCUGAUACCGCCCAAGAGUUCAUAUCGACGGCGGUGUUUGGCACCUCGAUGUCGGCUCAUCACAUCCUGGGGCUGAAGUAGGUCCCAAGGGUAUGGCUGUUCGCCAUUUAAAGUGGUACGCGAGCUGGGUUUAGAACGUCGUGAGACAGUUCGGUCCCUAUCUGCCGUGGGCGCUGGAGAAUUGAGGGGGGCUGCUCCUAGUACGAGAGGACCGGAGUGGACGCAUCACUGGUGUUCGGGUUGUCAUGCCAAUGGCACUGCCCGGUAGCUAAAUGCGGAAGAGAUAAGUGCUGAAAGCAUCUAAGCACGAAACUUGCCCCGAGAUGAGUUCUCCCUGAGACUUUAAGUCUCCUGAAGGAACGUUAAAGACGAUGACGUUGAUAGGCCGGGUGUGUAAGCGCAGCGAUGCGUUGAGCUAACCGGUACUAAUGAACCGUGAGGCUUAACCU